GACCGGAAGUAUAAAAGGAGUGCCUGGAGAAACAGUCAUUAUCUUUUCGUCUUUCGGGUCUGUUCUGUCUGAUCGCGACUAUAUCGACUCCGCUGUCUCUGAAGCCACAGAUUGCAGUCUGUCAGAAGAGAAGUUCUUGAAGUCACUGGAGAAGGUGUCCUCAUUCAGUAACAUGGCUGCCCAUAUGAAGGAAGUGAUGCACUGGUGCUGGGGCUGUAAGUUUCAUCAAGAGCGUAAGCACCUGGCCUUCUUGUGCCCGAACUGUCUGAGGAUGGAAAGUCUGGAAGCUGAAGGCGUCAGGUACGGCCCUGUACCAUCACCACCCCCCGCUGUUGCUGAGUAGCUACUUGAAUCAAUGCUGCGUCAAAGAAUACGGAUGAAAUAAUGCCAUAAGCUGUAUUAUUAUUUUUAAAGGACCCUUUAGACUAAAGAGAUGUAUGGUACCUCACUCACUUUCCUUUCAACACAAAACUGCACACACAUAUACCUUUGGGCACAAAGUUAAAGUUUAAAAACAAAAUAAAACAUUUUGAGGUGUUUAUAUAACUGCUUUAACCCUAUGACUCUGGACACCUAAGUACAAAGUUCAUUGAUGGAAUUGCUGUAUACUGUUCUUUCAGGGAAUGUAAAAAAAUAAAAACAUAAAAAUUAGCUUGUUUAAUGUUUUUUACUCUCUGUUCAAGGUCCCUUUUUAAUUGUUAAGCAUAAUUUCCCACUCAUAAUUUUAAAAAGUUUAGUGCAGCUUUUAAGCCUGGGUUAUGAAGCCCUGUCCCAGGGUUAGCACGGCUUUUGUUAACAAUAAGCACUCAUUACACUAUGAGACUGAUUUUACCAUAACUUAUCAAAAUGAGGGUUUUCAGAGUAACAUUUUGAAAUUUUAAGUGUACAGGUUUAAAAAAAGUACUGUGAAAAAAUAAUUCCUGACUAUAUAGUUUCAGUAUUGUUUAGGAUAUUUGGCCAAUUUAAUGGAUUUUAGUGUCAGGUUGUGUGCUUGUCAAAUGCUGUACUCGUUCAAUCAAAUAAUCUUGUAAUAUACAAAAAAGAAUGUUAACCUUGGGGUGAAAUCUCAAAAUCUGACUUAGUUACCACAAUUAAGUAAUGUCCAAAAAAUUUGUAAUGAGGACCAAAACACACUAUGUUUGUAACUCACUAAACUCACUAUGUCUCCCAAUAAACCUGGGAAAAGAAACGAACCUGGGAGAUCACUUUCAUCAGUAAGAAGUCCAUUUGUUAUCCAUUCACUGGGUUUAACCAAUUUGCUAGAAUUUAAGUUCAGUAAUUAACUAAUUCUAUAAAAAGCCUUGACAACUGAUCUGGAACUUGAUCUUAUCAUCAUAUCAUGUUGAUAAGUUUAAGUUUAAGCUCCAAAAGCAAGAGCAGAAG